rnacentral:rRNA from 1 species
UACGUAGGGUGCAAGCGUUGUCCGGAAUUAUUGGGCGUAAAGAGCUCGUAGGCGGUCUGUCGCGUCUGCUGUGAAAACUCGGGGCUUAACCCCGGGCCUGCAGUGGGUACGGGCAGACUAGAGUGCGGUAGGGGAGACUGGAAUUCCUGGUGUAGCGGUGAAAUGCGCAGAUAUCAGGAGGAACACCGGUGGCGAAGGCGGUUCUCUGGGCAUGGCCUGACGCUGAGGAGCGAAAGUGUGGGGAGCGAACAGG